CGCACGGGUGAGUAACACGUAUCCAACCUGCCGAUGACUCGGGGAUAGCCUUUCGAAAGAAAGAUUAAUACCCGAUGGCAUAGUUCUUCCGCAUGGUAGAACUAUUAAAGAAUUUCGGUCAUCGAUGGGGAUGCGUUCCAUUAGGUUGUUGGCGGGGUAACGGCCCACCAAGCCUUCGAUGGAUAGGGGUUCUGAGAGGAAGGUCCCCCACAUUGGAACUGAGACACGGUCCAAACUCCUACGGGAGGCAGCAUG
rnacentral:rRNA from 1 species